UGCGCGCAGGGGAAGGAAUGCGGGUGAGCGUGUGAAAGUGGCGAGGCUAAACUGGCAUUAUUUUCUAACUUCCACCCACUCUCACUGGAAGCAGCCAGUUGUCAAUGGCAGAGGAGGUUCUCUCGCGCAGCACAAAGUUUCCUUCAGCGCGUCUCUCUCUCCAUCUUCAGACGGCAGAAAACUCUCACAUCCUUCAGCCUUUUCUGGAGGCAAAACCACUGAACACACACACACAAGUACUGUGAGCACACUACUGAGUGCACUACAACCAGUGCACUACAUACAGUAGGGUCCAAAAAGGGCAGCGGUGCACCUGCGUCUGUCUGUCCUUGAGCUCCUGGAGGAGAAACAUGGAAAUAAAACACAAGAGGAGAUGAAGAGAGGAGUGUUAGUUCAAUAUACAGCCCAGAAACCACAGGAAAAGCAAACACCUCCAUCUGAAGCAUUUCCUCCUCAGGGACGGUCAAACCAUGACGGCGUCACAUACGAUUACAUCUACUGCAAAAUCCCUUCCACCUUCAACCCCACAGUAACAGAGAAACAACUGAGUGCUGAUGUUCCCCUGAGGCUGCUGUUGUGAUGAUUUUUGAGACAUUAUCAUGUUCUCAUACCUUUCUGACAGGAACAUUUUGAGGUUUUGUUGCUAAAUGAUCAGAUGGACCGAGUCAAAUCCAGACAUAUGACUGAGAUCUGUCAUAAACACCUUCAGGAACAGACUAAAUCAUCUGACGUCUGGACCACAAAAAUGCUCAACGGCACAUCGCUGUACAAAUCCCAACCUGCUCACGAUUACACAUGUAACGCAAGCAGUCGACAACUACCUUAAAUACAGCCAUCCACUUCAAAUCAACAAUCAGUUUCUCUACAGAAGCCACUGCAGAUUAGAUAUAGUAAAUAUUCACCAUGAUUUUACUGAAGAAGUCCGUUCUGCUCACCAAGGAUACAUUUAUUUGAUUAAAAAAUACAGUAAAAAAUUU